UACAGAGGGUGCGAGCGUUAAUCGGAUUUACUGGGCGUAAAGCGUGCGUAGGCGGCUUUUUAAGUCGGAUGUGAAAUCCCCGAGCUUAACUUGGGAAUUGCAUUCGAUACUGGGAAGCUAGAGUACAGGAGAGGAAGGUAGAAUUCCCGGUGUAGCGGUGAAAUGCGUAGAGAUCGGGAGGAAUACCAGUGGCGAAGGCGGCCAUCUGGCCUAAUACUGACGCUGAGGUACGAAAGCAUGGGGAGCAAACAGG
rnacentral:misc_RNA from 1 species